rnacentral:rRNA from 1 species
AUGAACGCUGGCGGCGUGCCUAAUACAUGCAAGUCGAGCGAACGGACGAGAAGCUUGCUUCUCUGAUGUUAGCGGCGGACGGGUGAGUAACACGUGGAUAACCUACCUAUAAGACUGGGAUAACUUCGGGAAACCGGAGCUAAUACCGGAUAAUAUUUUGAACCGCAUGGUUCAAAAGUGAAAGACGGUCUUGCUGUCACUUAUAGAUGGAUCCGCGCUGCAUUAGCUAGUUGGUAAGGUAACGGCUUACCAAGGCAACGAUGCAUAGCCGACCUGAGAGGGUGAUCGGCCACACUGGAACUGAGACACGGUCCAGACUCCUACGGGAGGCAGCAGUAGGGAAUCUUCCGCAAUGGGCGAAAGCCUGACGGAGCAACGCCGCGUGAGUGAUGAAGGUCUUCGGAUCGUAAAACUCUGUUAUUAGGGAAGAACAUAUGUGUAAGUAACUGUGCACGUCUUGACGGUACCUAAUCAGAAAGCCACGGCUAACUACGUG